CGAGUGGCGCACGGGUGAGUAAUACAUCGGAACGUGUCUUCUAGUGGGGGAUAACUGCCCGAAAGGGCAGCUAAUACCGCAUGAGACCUGAGGGUGAAAGCGGGGGAUCGCAAGACCUCGCGCUGGAAGAGCGGCCGAUGUCCGAUUAGCUAGUUGGUGAGGUAAAGGCUCACCAAGGCGACGAUCGGUAGCUGGUCUGAGAGGACGACCAGCCACACUGGGACUGAGACACGGCCCAGACUCCUACGGGAGGCAGCAGUGGGGAAUUUUGGACAAUGGGGGCAACCCUGAUCCAGCCAUGCCGCGUGCAGGAUGAAGGUCUUCGGAUUGUAAACUGCUUUUGUCAGGGACGAAAAGGGAUGCGAUAACACCGCAUUCCGCUGACGGUACCUGAAGAAUAAGCACCGGCUAACUACGUGCCAGCAGCCGCGGUAAUACGUAGGGUGCAAGCGUUAAUCGGAAUUACUGGGCGUAAAGCGUGCGCAGGCGGUUCUGUAAGAUAGAUGUGAAAUCCCCGGGCUCAACCUGGGAAUUGCAUAUAUGACUGCAGGACUUGAGUUUGUCAGAGGAGGGUGGAAUUCCACGUGUAGCAGUGAAAUGCGUAGAUAUGUGGAAGAACACCGAUGGCGAAGGCAGCC
rnacentral:rRNA from 1 species